UCCCUGGCGUCGUCUAGCUGCUGGAGUGGCUUGAGCUACCCAACAUCUUGAUGGUUCGGGAGCGGCCAGAGCGGUCUCAGGACCUGCAGCAUUUCAUUCAGGCCAGCUACCAUCUGGUCCCUGGGCAUUGUGCUGCACCAGAUGGUCUGUGGGGAGCACCCUUUCAGGAGGGGCCAGAACAUCAGCUGGGACCAUUGGCUCUCACUGCCCCAAUGGCUCACUCAAGGUGGAUCCUCAGUUCUGGAUACAGGGGGAAAAACAUUGCUGGGCGACAGUGGGCUCAGGAGCAUCCUGCUGUGGCAGCUGCUGAGGAGGUGGCACAUGUCCUGCUCUCCUCCAAAACAAAGAAUUGAUGAUAAAGUUUAGGCUCAGCUCUGAGCACAUCCAGCAUGGCCUGGGCAUGGGAAUAGUGGGGCAGAGCCAACAGGAGCCUUCUUCAACUGAUGGGUGAUUUCUGGUUUCUCUGCCCACAGUGCCAAGGUCUGAUCAGGCGGUGUUUAUCCACGCUGGACUUGGAAAGGCCCUCAUUAGAAGAGCUGUUCUGUGAUCCUUGGAUGCAGGAUAUUCAUCUGCCAUAGAAGAAGGGAGAGAGCCACAGGCCCACUUUGAUGCAGGGCCCUGAGGAAGCAUUCUAGGUGGGGUCCAGUCUGGAUCAGGAAGUGCUUGGGAGCAGCUGUGGUGUGGAUGGGCCGUGCCCUUGGAGAAGGCUGAGGACAUCGUUUGGGACCAGCUUUUCUUCCAGCCAUGGAUGGCGUGAGCCAGGCUCUGCGGGUGCUGAGGCUGCUCUGGGCUCUGCCAGGGCUCUGCUGGAGCUCAGCACCGGGCCAGGAUCAGCCAAAGAAGAAAUGGUGUCACCUGCAGCACCGACUUGCUUGAGCAUUUUGGCAACACAGCUCAAGUUUGCAGAGUGUACAUCUCCAAGGGAAAACAUGACACCCCCUGUAGCCAUGAUAUUUUAGUGAAAAAGCCUCUGCUGGGAUUUUUCCUGUCCUGAGGAGCUGAGAGCGUCAGGAAAGAAAUGUAAACAAUAACUAUCUGCUGCUGUGGAAGGCCACAGGUGCAUCUUUCAUUGGUCCAUGUGGAUUGUUUUCAAUCAGUGACCAACCACAGCCACCUGUGCCAAGGCUGUGAGCAGUCACAGGAUUUUUGUUAUUCAUUCCAAUUCUAUUCUUGUCUUUGUAGCCUUCUGAUCUUCUUCUCUCUGUUCCUUUAGUAUAGUUUUAAUGUAGUAUUUUAAUAUAAUAUAUAACAUAAUAAAUCAGCCUUCUGAUGAAA